AUUGAACGCUAGCGGGAUGCCUUACACAUGCAAGUCGAACGGAGUGGCGAACGGGUGCGUAAUGUAUCGGAACGUGCCCAGUAGCGGGGGAUGACUACGCGAAAGCGUAGCUAAUACCGCAUACUAUUGGAGCGGCCGAUACCGGGUUAGCUAGUUGGUGGGGUAACGGCUCACCAAGGCGACGAUCCGUAGCUGGUUUGAGAGGACGACCAGCCACACUGGAGCGGAGAAACGGCCCAGACUCCUGCGGGAGGCAGCAGUGGGGAGUUUUGGACAAUGGGGGAAGCCCUGAUCCAGCCAUCCCGCGUGUGCGAUGAAGGCCUUCGGGUUGUAAAGCACUUUUGGCAGGAAAGCGGUACCUGCAGAAUAAGCGCCCGCUAAAUACGUGCCAGCAGCCGCGGUAAUAC
rnacentral:rRNA from 1 species